UCUCCGUUGGUGGACCAGCGGAGGGAUCAUUACCGAGUUUACAACUCCCAAACCCCAUGUGAACCUUACCAAACGUUGCUUCGGCGGGAUGCCCCGGGCGCGGGCCGCAAGGCCUCAGCCCCGGAACCAGGCGCCCGCCGGAGGCCCAAACCAAACUCUUGUUUUUGUAGAAUCUUCUGAGUGGCCUUUUAGGCAAAAAAUGAAUCAAAACUUUCAACAACGGAUCUCUUGGUUCUG
rnacentral:misc_RNA from 1 species